UGGAGCCUCGGGGAACAGAAGGCUUGUGUCCGUGUCCACCAUGGCCCGCACUCCUCUCCUCCUCCUCCACCUCCUCCUUGCUCUCUGUACAGGUUUCGUGAGUUCUGUGCCGACUCAGCCGCCCUCGGUGUCUGUGGCCCUGGGACAGACGGCCACACUCACCUGCUCCGGUGUUAGCAGUAGCUAUAUACAUUGGUACCAGCAGAAACCCGGUCAGGCCCCUGUGCUGGUCAUAUACAAUAGUAACAGCCGACCCUCCGGGAUCCCCGAUCGAUUCUCCGGCUCUAAAUCUGGGAGCACGGCCACGUUGAGCAUCGCCAGGGCCCAGGCCGAGGAUGAGGCCGAUUAUUACUGUCAGGACUAUGCAAGCAGUAAUAAUCCUCACAGUGACACAGGGUGAUGGGGAAGUGAGACA